UACAGAGGGGGCAAGCGUUGUUCGGAAUUACUGGGCGUAAAGGGCGCGUAGGCGGCCGGCUAAGUCGAACGUGAAAUCCCCGGGCUCAACCCGGGAACUGCGUCCGAUACUGGUCGGCUUGAAUUCGGGAGAGGGAUGCGGAAUUCCAGGUGUAGCGGUGAAAUGCGUAGAUAUCUGGAGGAACACCGGUGGCGAAGGCGGCAUCCUGGACCGACAUUGACGCUGAGGCGCGAAAGCCAGGGGAGCAAACGGG
rnacentral:rRNA from 1 species